rnacentral:lncRNA from 1 species
UGGUUUUUGUAGCCACAUGACACCCCGUUACACUUGUGACAAUUUUUUUUAUUAAACAAUGCAUGACGAUAGAUAAAAAUACGAAACUCUCGAUAGGCCUCCUAAUUUCAUGGUUGUAAUGAAAUAAAAACGUAAUUAUAAGAAUUGAAUGCUUCUUUUUAUUUAAUAUAAUUUCAUGGCUAGUAAAAGGGUUAAAUAAACUCAUCAUAGAUACCAGGACUAAAUUUAGUAUAUACGCCAGACGCGCGUUUCGUCUACAAAGUGUGCACAUUUUUUACAGUGGAAGCGCGAAUAUAAAAUAAGCUUCGGUAAGCGCUUUUUCACUCAAAUCAAACUUAUCGAAAGAGACAUUUACUUUUUAAGUAAAAGUUCUCUCAAUGUCACAUUUACAUUUUUAUUA